rnacentral:rRNA from 1 species
UAGGGAAUCUUCCACAAUGGACGAAAGUCUGAUGGAGCAACGCCGCGUGAGUGAAGAAGGUUUUCGGAUCGUAAAGCUCUGUUGUAAGAGAAGAACGUGUGUGAGAGUGGAAAGUUCACACAGUGACGGUAACUUACCAGAAAGGGACGGCUAACUACGUGUCAG